CGGGCAGUAGCUCAGUGGUAGAGCUCCGCUUCGUAUGUGGGAAGACCUGGGUUAGAUUCCCGGUUGCUCCC
rnacentral:tRNA from 1 species